GAUCUCCCCAGCAAUAUCAAAGAGUACUCCUUCGGCCAUUCUGGGUAUUUUCGUUAGGUGUUUUUGAGGUUGUGAAGGGAUGAAAUGUUGCUGUGAAGAUGAUGGCAAAGCAAUGCUAAUAUUUAUAAGACACUCACGGAAUGUUAUUGCCUUGGAGGUGAAGUCUAUGCGAAUAUGCCAUGAGCACAGAAAGUAAUUAGGGUGACUAGCGUGUACUUUGGAGCUCAAAAUUCCUUAAUUGUCAUGCACUCUACCCUGAAAUUCCUUGCUUUCCAUGCCCAUAAAGAUAGCUAAAACAUUAAAAAUCUACUCUACCAAGUCAUGAACAUCUUCAAGCAAAUAUUUGGCUUGUAAUAAAUUUAUCUGUUGCCACUAAUUAAUUAAUCUAUGUUAAUCAUCUACAAUCUUAGGGUUCAUAUCCCACAGUCUCAGCGUGGAGAAUGUACCUUUUUUUUGUACUUGUAUUUAACAAAUUUUUGAAUUACUAACAAAGUAAAAGAUUUUGUACAUAUCAAAUUCAAA
rnacentral:misc_RNA from 1 species